rnacentral:rRNA from 1 species
GUGGCAAGCGUUGUCCGGAUUUAUUGGGCGUAAAGCGAGUGCAGGCGGUUCAAUAAGACUGAUGUGGAAGCCUUUGGCCCAACCGGGGAAAUGCAUCAGAAACUGUUGAACUUGAGUGCAGAAGAGGAGAGUGGAACUCCAUGUGUAGCGGUGGAAUGCGUAGAUAUAUGGAAGAACACCAGUGGCGAAGGCGGCUCUCUGGUCUGCAACUGACGCUGAGGCUCGAAAGCAUGGGUAGCGAAC